rnacentral:rRNA from 1 species
AAGUCGAGGGGUAACAGAGAAAAGCUUGCUUUUUUGCUGACGACCGGCGCACGGGUGCGUAACGCGUAUGCAAUCUACCUUUUGCUAAGGGAUAGCCCAGAGAAAUUUGGAUUAAUACCUUAUAGUAUGAUGACUUGGCAUCAAGAUAUCAUUAAAGGUUACGGCAAAAGAUGAGCAUGCGUUCUAUUAGCUAGUUGGUGUGGUAACGGCAUACCAAGGCAACGAUAGAUAGGGGUCCUGAGAGGGAGAUCCCCCACACUGGUACUGAGACACGGACCAGACUCCUACGGGAGGCAGCAGUGAGGAAUAUUGGACAAUGGAGGCAACUCUGAUCCAGCCAUGCCGCGUGCAGGAAGACUGCCCUAUGGGUUGUAAACUGCUUUUAUACAGGAAGAAACACCUCUACGUGUAGAGAUUUGACGGUACUGUAAGAAUAAGGAUCGGCUAACUCCGUGCCAGCAGCCGCGGUAAUACGGAGGAUCCAAGCGUUAUCCGGAAUCAUUGGGUUUAAAGGGUCCGUAGGUGGAUAAUUAAGUCAGAGGUGAAAUCCUGCAGCUUAACUGUAGAAUUGCCUUUGAUACUGGUUGUCUUGAGUUAUUAUGAAGUGGUUAGAAUAUGUAGUGUAGCGGUGAAAUGCAUAGAUAUUACAUAGAAUACCAAUUGCGAAGGCAGAUCACUAAUAAUAUACUGACACUGAUGGACGAAAGCGUGGGGAGCGAACAGGAUUAGAUACCCUGGUAGUCCACGCCGUAAACGAUGGUCACUAGCUGUUCGGGUUUCGAUCUGAGUGGCUAAGCGAAAGUGAUAAGUGACCCACCUGGGGAGUACGUUCGCAAGAAUGAAACUCAAAGGAAUUGACGGGGGCCCGCACAAGCGGUGGACAUGUGUUAAUUCGAUGAACGCGAGGAACCUUACC